AUGACUAGAAAUCAACAGAAGCUCGCAGAUGCUCGUACCAGACGCCAAAAAAUAGCUGUAGCAGCAGAAUCUGAAGCAGCACGUCUAGCAAAUACCAGGAGUACAUCUAAAACCAGCAGAAGAAAAACACGGGUUCAAGUAGUGCCUCAAAUUCAACUCAAUGAACAGGAUCUUAACAAUCAACAGAAUCAGCAACAAAACAAUGAACAGGAUCUUAACGAUCAACAGAAUCAGCAACAAAAUCUUCUGAAUCAACCGAAUCUGCUUAAUGAACAAAACCUGCUCAAUCAACAAAAUCAGCCAAUUCAACAACAGAAUCUUCUCCAUGAACAAAACCCGCUCAUACAGCAAAAUCAGCCAUUCAACAACAGAAUCUGCUCAAUCAGUCGGAUCAGCCCAUUCAGCAGCAAAAUCUAGAGGACAACCUAGAUGUAGAGGAUAACAAUCUAAUUCCAGAUGAUCCAUAGGAUCCACCAAGAAUUCAAGAUGAUCCAGGGGAUACACCAACACCAACUCUAGAGGUUACUGUUCCAAGUUUUCCUCAACAACUGUUUGACUUGUUGAAUUCUAAUCCUGGCUACAUUAAGUGGCUUGGAGUUGCUUCUUUUGUGGUACCUUCCAUUAAUGCUUUUAACCAGCAGCACAACCCAGCCAUUAUCGGAAAUUGGGAGGCUAUCAAACAAAAACUCCGAAAUCAUGCAAGUAUUUUAUCUUGGUUUGUUCUUUUGGAAGUAUAAUUCGAAGUAUAAUUGAGUUUUAUAAGUAGUUUUGGCUUAAAAUUCUGAUGUUGUAUCCUUGGGUGUUUAUGUCCUGCUUAGUAUUUUUGGAAUUUAAGCUAUUUGUUUUCUUGAUUUUUGGGUGUUCUUAGCAUGCAUCAUAUGAUUUGACACACUGCUGAUUCUGUUUGUGAGCAUCAUUGUCUUAACAGUAUUCAAUUCUAAUUGAAGAAUAGUAAUAGUAUAAACCAGAGGGUAGGAUCUCAAGUUUUCUAGUUUUUGAUCAUCAGUGUUUCUAAGUUGAAUGUUGAAUUUCAAGUUUUUCAUAUAAGCUUAGCAAUCCUGAAGGGACACUCUAUCUCCUUCAAGUUUUUAUCCUGCGUGGUUGCAUGUCUGAUUUAUGAACAAUUUCUGUGAUUUUAACUCCACUUGAAUGAAGAAGGAAUCCCUAUGUUUGACCAUGUACAAGAAUUAUAAAAGUGAAAGACACCUUGAAUUCGAACAAAUUAAAUUUUGAUCCACAUAAUCCUAAACCUUACCCAAUUGUCAUACUAAUUUCCUUUAAUAUUUCCCACUGUGUAUCAUUUAUUGUUUUUCAUUUCUAACUCCAGUUCAACUUAGCUUGUAUUAUAACCUCUGGAUACACCAUGUUUGCUGUAUUCGUUCCAUUGCCUUCAUCUCCUUGUGGUUGUGCAUCUAGAGACUAUGCUAUGUACAGUGAAUGAUUGAAUAACGUAUUCCACAUAUCAGUGUCAACUAUCUCUUAUCCAGAUUAUUAUAUGUUGUUUUAUUGUCUAACCGUAAAUAAGUAGUUUUACUGAUAGUAAAGCCAACCACGUAUACAAUUACAAGAAGCUAGUCACCGACCAAGGUAGGACAAGGUAUCCACCCGAAGAGAAAGAAUCAACCAAACAAAAAAGUACAGAGGAACUGUAAAGAAAAACUCUACAGUAGACAAACGAUUACAUAUACCAGCUGAGUCUCUCACGGCGGGUUCGAAAACCUCUAUAUUUAUGAUUUGAUUUAUAUUUAUCCUGAACUUAGUUUUUUGGUUUCCAAUAGAUAUUGUCGUCAGGUUUCUGGUGAGAUUUUUGUCGAUUCCCGAGCAAUAGCGAAAUUUGUCUCAAUAAACAGGUUAUCCUUUUUUCUUGUGCUUGUCCUCCUUAAGUCCUUUUAUGCGUAGUUGCGUACUCAACUCUUUUGCUGGUCACAGCGCCUCGAUCUGUGAAACUUGCACCAACGAAAUGGGUCUGUUGGAUCCAUCUCUCUUUUGGAGUCUUUUCCACCUCUUAUAUCGCUGAUGCCUUUCUUUCGAAUGUUUUGCAAUUACUGGGAUUAGCUUCUAUGUUGUGGCAGAGAUAUGCUUUGCACAUAUGCCCAUGACGAUGUCAGUGUUGGAUCAUGGUUCCUUAAUGAGGGAUGAUGAAUUAUUCAAAGAAGCAUCAUAUGCGAAUUCCGUGGAUGCUAGCAUGUUGUCCCCAAAUCCUAGUUAGGAUGUCAACUACUCUCCUCUCAAGAGCAAUGGGAACAAUGCCCGGCCAUUUGUUUUCUCUGCGGAAGAGUUUGCUUAAAAGAAGCAGCAGACAUCUAUUAAAGUACCCUAUUAUGAGUGUUUAUUUGGAUAUCUUACCAGGUGUUUGAAAUGGAAGCAAGCUACAGACUUGCUGCAAUUGCUCUUGGAAUUGCUAGCAGUGGUGGUUUCGUCAACUUUUGUUUCGAGGGAACCACACAGUUGGCAGUCUGGGAUGUUUCUACUAUUGGGAAUCAAGGUCUUACCGAGAUCGCAUAUGGUUUCCACGAGUUAGAAACACUCGACCUUACCCGAUGCUCGUUGAUAUGGGCGAGACUUUUUGAAUCUCCAGACUUGUAGCUCUUUGGGGACAGCAUGAUUGACUUGCUUGUGGAGACGCUUUCUGAAUGUGAAGUCCUCGCAUAAAAAUCCUGGUGAAAUGGUUGAAAGAAGCCCUUCACGGUUUAAGAUUUAAAAUUAAUUAGAAGGUGUCAGACUGUAAAACUCUUGGUGAAGCUAAUGGUGCUAGAAAUAGGAUUUUAUAUACAGGAGAUGUCGGGGAGAAAGUUGUCUGAAAUGGGAUAGUGUUAUAGAGUGAAUAACAAAUAUAUGGUUAAUUUCCAACGGUUUAAGUAUUCUGAGGUUCUUCAAAGCGGGUGGCAUUGAAGUGAAGUGGCAUCCACGGAUUUAUGGCGAGACGAAAUUCAACGGAGAUGGACCGAUUAGGGCAGGUUGUGGUUUGCAAUCACAUUGCUUUAGUUGUAGGGUGUGUUUUGCUGCUCCCGAUGGUCAUGACAACUCCUUGACAGAAUUUUGGGGGGGCCAGUUUAUGUGUUUCGAAUCGGAAAGGCUUAUAAUACUGAUUUGAAUGCGACUCGAUGCCACGAUUCUUGCUCCUUCAAAUAAGUAUAUUAUGUGGGUCUGCUUAUAAAUGGGUAGCUAGCUCUCUGGUCUUCAAGGCAGAGCCAAAAAUCAUGAGAUGGGGGUGCCAAAAAACUAAAAAUAGACUAAAAUUUCUAGUCGGGCUUAAAAUAGGCUUUGGAGUCAGCUGGGUAGUGCAAGGGCACACGCCUAUAAUGAGCUGGCUCCGCCCUACUGGUCAAUUUAAGGGUGAGUAUCGGGCCUGUAAUUCACAAAUUUAACUGGGACCAACAAAAAUUUUGUGGAUGGAUGCCCGGCUCGUUCGUUAGUGAGUUGGAUGUGAUUUUUGAAAUUAUCGGAUUACGGAUUGGGCUCGGAUGCAAACUUUAAAGUCCGUUGGGCAUCCAUACAUGUUAGAUUAAAGGCAUGUAUAUAAUUUUUAGAAAAUAUGUACAUGGAUAAUUUAGGAAUUCUUAAGGUGUUUAUUUGGAGUGUUGUACACGACACCUUUAUAAUUAGAUACAUAUAUAGAUGUAUAGGUUUUAUAA